AGAGUUUGAUCCUGGCUCAGGAUGAACGCUAGCUACAGGCUUAACACAUGCAAGUCGAGGGGCAGCAUUUCAGUUUGCUUGCAAACUGGAGAUGGCGACCGGCGCACGGGUGAGUAACACGUAUCCAACCUGCCGAUAACUCGGGGAUAGCCUUUCGAAAGAAAGAUUAAUACCCGAUGGUAUAAUUAGACCGCAUGGUCUUGUUAUUAAAGAAUUUCGGUUAUCGAUGGGGAUGCGUUCCAUUAGGCAGUUGGUGAGGUAACGGCUCACCAAACCUUCGAUGGAUAGGGGUUCUGAGAGGAAGGUCCCCCACAUUGGAACUGAGACACGGUCCAAACUCCUACGGGAGGCAGCAGUGAGGAAUAUUGGUCAAUGGGCGCAGGCCUGAACCAGCCAAGUAGCGUGAAGGAUGACUGCCCUAUGGGUUGUAAACUUCUUUUAUAUGGGAAUAAAGUUUUCCACGUGUGGAAUUUUGUAUGUACCAUAUGAAUAAGGAUCGGCUAACUCCGUGCCAGCAGCCGCGGUAAUACGGAGGAUCCGAGCGUUAUCCGGAUUUAUUGGGUUUAAAGGGAGCGUAGGUGGACAGUUAAGUCAGUUGUGAAAGUUUGCGGCUCAACCGUAAAAUUGCAGUUGAUACUGGCUGUCUUGAGUACAGUAGAGGUGGGCGGAAUUCGUGGUGUAGCGGUGAAAUGCUUAGAUAUCACGAAGAACUCCGAUUGCGAAGGCAGCUCACUGGACUGCAACUGACACUGAUGCUCGAAAGUGUGGGUAUCAAACAGGAUUAGAUACCCUGGUAGUCCACACAGUAAACGAUGAAUACUCGCUGUUUGCGAUAUACAGUAAGCGGCCAAGCGAAAGCAUUAAGUAUUCCACCUGGGGAGUACGCCGGCAACGGUGAAACUCAAAGGAAUUGACGGGGGCCCGCACAAGCGGAGGAACAUGUGGUUUAAUUCGAUGAUACGCGAGGAACCUUACCCGGGCUUAAAU
rnacentral:rRNA from 1 species